rnacentral:rRNA from 1 species
CCCUUAGAUGUUCUGGGCCGCACGCGCGCUACACUGUUCGACGCAGCGAGUCUUAACCUUGACCGAAAGGUUUGGGUAAUCUUCAGCAAAGUCGAACGUGAUGGGGAUCGAUCAUUGCAAUUAUUGAUCGUGAACGAGGAAUUCCUAGUAAGUGCAAGUCAUCAGCUUGCGCUGAUUACGUCCCUGCCCUUUGUUCACACCGCCCGUCGCUACUACCGAUUGAAUGGUUUAGUGAGAUCUCUGGAUUGACGCUGGCUAGGGGGCGACCCUUGGCCAGACUGCUCGAGAAACUGCUCAAACUUGAUCAUUUAGAGGAAGUAAAAGUCGUAACA